rnacentral:rRNA from 1 species
AUUGAACGCUGGCGGCAUGCUUUACACAUGCAAGUCGAACGGCAGCACGGGUGCUUGCACCUGGUGGCGAGUGGCGAACGGGUGAGUAAUGCAUCGGAACGUAUCCAAUAAUGGGGGAUAACGCAUCGAAAGGUGUGCUAAUACCGCAUACGCCCUGAGGGGGAAAGUGGGGGACCGUAAGGCCUCACGUUAAUGGAGCGGCCGAUGCCUGAUUAGCUAGUUGGUGGGGUAAAGGCUCACCAAGGCGACGAUCAGUAGCUGGUCUGAGAGGAUGAUCAGCCACACUGGGACUGGGACACGGCCCAGACUCCUACGGGAGGCAGCAGUGGGGAAUUUUGGACAAUGGGGGCAACCCUGAUCCAGCCAUGCCGCGUGAGUGAAGAAGGCCUUCGGGUUGUAAAGCUCUUUCGCAAGGGAAGAAAACUUAGCCAUUAAUACUGGCUGAGGAUGACGGUACCUUGAUAAGAAGCACCGGUUAACUACAUGCCAGCCGCCGCAGUAA